ensembl:lncRNA
UGGGACGAUAAGCAAGAAAAUAAUUAAAGUCUGUACUGUUCUUAAAAUGAAAUACUGUCUAGGCGUAGAGAAAUAAAUUAGAUGGCUUUUCAAACCUUUCUACUCUAAGCAUUCAAAAGAAAGAAAAAGAAAAAGUCCAGGCCAGUGGCUUUCAAACAUUUUUUGACAGCAACCCGAGUAAGACGUGUAUUCAACACCUCGAUUCCAAAUGUACAACACACCGUAUUCUUUUUAUGAUUCGAGUUUCAGGAAAGAAUCCCGAUUCUCCUAGGUGGUAUCGUUGCAUUCUCUUUUGUUCCAGCUUCUUCCUUCUUUCCUUUCUUCUUCCUUUCCUAAUGCUCCUUGUCCCACUGAUUUUGCCACCCAGUCUGAAAACUGCAGCUCUGGUGGGUUUUCCUAUUCGGGAAGUCUUUCUGCAGGUUUCUACCCUGAAUCAGAGAGAAUCCAGCAAUCAGGGUGAGAGAGCAGCUUGCAGAUGGGACUUCUGAGGCCGCCGCGGGACCGGGGUCUUCCCCUAGGUGAACCAGGGAGAGAGGGGCAGGUAGCCUGAGAGCCCGGAGCAAAAUCUGCGAGGUCUGCAGCCACACCGUUCGUCUGGUGGAAUCUAUUUCAUGCCAAUUAUCGUUAAAACCUCCAUCUUAAACACUUAGCAUCAUCAGCGUGAACCUCGACCACCAGCCCGGCCUCCGUAGCGCCGCCUGGCCAAGCCCGGCUCCCCGCGCAGGGGCCCGGCCCUGGCCGAGUUCGGCUCGGGUCCCCACGGCCUCGGCCCGCUCCCGCCUCGGGGAACUUUCGCUCCACCUGGUGGAAGACAUUGUCUUGCUAAAUCGCCAAGUUGCCCAGGCUGGACUCGAACUUGAGAACCUCCUGCCUCAGCCUCUCAGAAUGCUGAGAUUACAAGGCAUGCACCAUCACUCCCAGCUGAGCCUUGCUCUCAUACGGAUAAUUUUCUUUAGUCAUCCUGAUCUCUUGGCCUCAAGACUGCGUUAAGGAACCAUAGUAGGAGUGCCAAAAACGAGAAGAUUUAGAGGAAAAAUU